ACCGUGGCGGGGUGCUAUAAUGCAGUCGACGCUUCUUUUCCCACCGGAGCUUGCUCCACCGGGAAAAGAGGAGUGGCGAACGGGUGAGUAACACGUGGGUAACCUGCCCAUCAGAAGGGGAUAACACUUGGAAACAGGUGCUAAUACCGUAUAACAAUCGAAACCGCAUGGUUUCGUUUUGAAAGGCGCUUUACGGUGCCGCUGAUGGAUGGACCCGCGGUGCAUUAGCUAGUUGGUGAGGUAACGGCUCACCAAGGCCACGAUGCAUAGCCGACCUGAGAGGGUGAUCGGCCACAUUGGGACUGAGACACGGCCCAAACUCCUACGGGAGGCAGCAGUAGGGAAUCUUCGGCAAUGGACGAAAGUCUGACCGAGCAACGCCGCGUGAGUGAAGAAGGUUUUCGGAUCGUAAAACUCUGUUGUUAGAGAAGAACAAGGGUGAGAGUAACUGUUCACCCCUUGACGGUAUCUAACCAGAAAGCCACGGCUAACUACGUGCCAGCAGCCGCGGUAAUACGUAGGUGGCAAGCGUUGUCCGGAUUUAUUGGGCGUAAAGCGAGCGCAGGCGGUUUCUUAAGUCUGAUGUGAAAGCCCCCGGCUCAACCGGGGAGGGUCAUUGGAAACUGGGAGACUUGAGUGCAGAAGAGGAGAGUGGAAUUCCAUGUGUAGCGGUGAAAUGCGUAGAUAUAUGGAGGAACACCAGUGGCGAAGGCGGCUCUCUGGUCUGUAACUGACGCUGAGGCUCGAAAGCGUGGGGAGCAAACAGGAUUAGAUACCCUGGUAGUCCACGCCGUAAACGAUGAGUGCUAAGUGUUGGAGGGUUUCCGCCCUUCAGUGCUGCAGCUAACGCAUUAAGCACUCCGCCUGGGGAGUACGACCGCAAGGUUGAAACUCAAAGGAAUUGACGGGGGCCCGCACAAGCGGUGGAGCAUGUGGUUUAAUUCGAAGCAACGCGAAGAACCUUACCAGGUCUUGACAUCCUUUGACCACUCUAGAGAUAGAGCUUCCCCUUCGGGGGCAAAGUGACAGGUGGUGCAUGGUUGUCGUCAGCUCGUGUCGUGAGAUGUUGGGUUAAGUCCCGCAACGAGCGCAACCCUUAUUGUUAGUUGCCAUCAUUUAGUUGGGCACUCUAGCAAGACUGCCGGUGACAAACCGGAGGAAGGUGGGGAUGACGUCAAAUCAUCAUGCCCCUUAUGACCUGGGCUACACACGUGCUACAAUGGGAAGUACAACGAGUCGCGAAGUCGCGAGGCUAAGCUAAUCUCUUAAAGCUUCUCUCAGUUCGGAUUGUAGGCUGCAACUCGCCUACAUGAAGCCGGAAUCGCUAGUAAUCGCGGAUCAGCACGCCGCGGUGAAUACGUUCCCGGGCCUUGUACACACCGCCCGUCACACCACGAGAGUUUGUAACACCCGAAGUCGGUGAGGUAACCUUUUGGAGCCAGCCGCCUAAGGUGGAAUAGAAGG
rnacentral:rRNA from 1 species